rnacentral:rRNA from 1 species
AUUGAACGCUGGCGGCAGCCCUAACACAUGCAAGUCGAACGAGUGGCGGACGGGUGAGUAAUGUCUGGGAAACUGCCUGAUGUAGGGGGAUAACUCCUGGAAACGGUAGCUAAUACCGCAUCCCAUCGGAUGUGCCCAGAUGGGAUUAGCUAGUAGGUGGGGUAAAGGCUCACCUAGGCGACGAUCCCUAGCUGGUCUGGGAGGAUGACAAGCCACACGGGAACUGAGACACGGUCCAGACUCCUACGUGAGGCAGCAGUGGGGAAUAUGGCACAAUGGGCGCAAGCCUGAUGCAGCCAGGCCGCGUGUAUGAAGAAGGCCUUCGGGUUGUAAAGAACUUUCAGCGGGGAGGCGUGACCCGCAGAAGAGGCACCGGCUAACUCCGUGCCAGCAGCCGCGGAAUUC